CUCACCUGUCUAAGGGCGCCCCGCGCCGGCGCGCCUCCCCAGUCCUGCCAGGAAUUCUCAGUGCCUCCAGAAUCCACGUGGGUGAUCCUUCCAACCCCUUGCCUUCUUAAAAGGCGCCUGGGAUUGUUUUAAUCAGGUAUGAAAAGGUGACAGACGCAGAGACAACUGCCUUGAAAGAAGAGUUUAGAACUGACCCAAGAGGAGUGGGCACAAGGAAGUACCAGGACUGGGCAGGAGGCUGAAUUUGCCAGGAGAGAGCACAGCCCAGAGCCUUUGUGGUGUCUUCUGUGAAAAGGAGUGGGUGCAGCAAGGCAGCAGGUGGACACUGGCAGCAAGAACUUUGCUGAUGGAGGCUGGAUGAGGGAGGCCAUGUUCAGAAUCGGCAUGAAGAUGGUGAGCCUACGGCCUGUGGAAACAAGGAAAGUGGAAACUGUGUCUAAGGAUCUGAUUUUCCUGGCAGGGAACUUUAAGGCCAGUUGGCUUUUUUCAGUUAGGCUAAAGUGAAAUAAAAGAAUUAAAGACGUAACUUGCAUGUUCUGGCAUAACCUAGAGGAACUAUUUCCAAUCCAGGUCUUGCUGAGGUAGAAAGUCAGAACUCUUUCUCAUUUCUAGCCUUCCCAACUAGCAAAAAAAUUCUGAAGGUAAGAAAUGGCAUCAUGGUGAAGAUUAAAUCCAGGGCACUGCCAGCAAAACAUGAAAGUAAAUUCAAGGGUAUGGUUCUAUGAUCCUUGUUAAGACUUCUGAGCCUUUCAGGAGGGAGUGGGGAAUCCUUGUAGACUUCAUCAGCCUGUCAAAAGGGCUUCUAAGAGUCUUGACGUUGUCCCACAGCACCUGACUCAUGGCCACCGGACCGAAGAGCCUUCUUCUCAAAAACAUUUGCAGCAUAGCUUUUGUUUAGUGAAACCAGUUACUAUUUGAUAUAUAGAAAAUCCAUAUUUUAAGG